GCGGUGAUUUCCUGGUAGAGUUCUCACCUUCCAUGUGAGAGGCCUGGGUUCAAUUCCCAGCCGGUGCA
rnacentral:tRNA from 1 species